AAUGGUUUCCGAUAUGCCUAACUCGAAUUCCGGCGACGGAGGGGCAGAUGCCGAUUCAAGUACUUGUUAGUUUCUGUCAAGAGGAAUCCCAUUCAUAUUCAAUUCCUGGAUUGUCAGACACCUCUCCGAAGAAGAUUACGCGCUCUAUGCUGUACAGUUC